rnacentral:rRNA from 1 species
AGGACGAACGCUGGCGGCGUGCCUAAUACAUGCAAGUCGAACGGUCUUUCUAUGGAAGCUUGCUCCACUGAAAAGAUAGUGGCGAACGGGUGAGUAACACGUGGGUAACCUGCCCAUAAGAGGGGGAUAACAUCCGGAAACGGGUGCUAAUACCGCAUAGUUUCCUUGAUCGCAUGAUCGGGAAAGGAAAGACGGCCUUUGUGCUGUCGCUUAUGGAUGGACCCGCGGCGUAUUAGUUAGUUGGUGAGGUAACGGCUCACCAAGACGAUGAUACGUAGCCGACCUGAGAGGGUGAUCGGCCACAUUGGGACUGAGACACGGCCCAAACUCCUACGGGAGGCAGCAGUAGGGAAUCUUCCGCAAUGGACGAAAGUCUGACGGAGCAACGCCGCGUGAGUGAAGAAAAGGUUUUCGGAUCGUAAAACUCUGUUGUCAGAGAAGAACAAGUUGGAGAGUAACUGCUCCAGCCUUGACGGUAUCUGACCAGAAAGCCACGGCUAACUACGUGCCAGCAGCCGC